GAUAGAACGCUGGCGGCCGUGGCCGUAACACAUGCAAGUCGAGCGAAGCACCUUACUUGGAUUUCGUUCGGGAAGUGAAAGUAUUGUGACCGAGCGGCGGACGGGUGAGUAACGCGCGGAUAACCUGCCUCAUACAGGGGGAUAACAGUUAGAAAUGACUGCUAAUACCGCAUAAUGUCAUUUAAGGGCAUCCUUGGAUGACCAAAGCUUAAUGUGCUGAAAGAUGGUCUUGCGUCUGAUUAGCUGGUUGGUGAGGUAACGGCUCACCAAGGCGACGAUCAGUAGCCGGUCUGAGAGGAUGAACGGCCACAUUGGGACUGAGAUACGGCCCAG
rnacentral:rRNA from 1 species